AUGAAUCGGUACCGAAGUAGCGUCAACAUCCUUGACUCUUUACCUUAUCCGAAGAACCAUCGUCCUUCAAAGAACACCUACCAUAAAGACUGCGAGAAGAUUAUCUCCAGGAUGGUCCAAGUAAUGAAGGCUGUGUAUGGUGAUGCUCAGUACAAUGCGAGCAAGCAGCCAAAAUGGGAGCUUUUUGCAAAGAAACCAACGUUUGUGAAGGUCCCACUUCAAGGGGCGGAUGAAUGUGGCCAUUAUACUGUGAAGUAUGCGGGAUCCUAUGAUGGUGAAAAGAUCGUUUGGAACAUUCGAGAUAAUGAUGAGGCCUCGUAUUGUUGA
rnacentral:rRNA from 1 species